ACUCAAAUGAAUAGACGGGGGCCCGCACAAGCGGUGGAGCAUGUGGUUCAAUUCGACGCAACGCGAAGAACCUUACCUGGGCUCGAAAUGUAGUGGACCGGGGUAGAAAUAUCCCUUUUCGCAAGAACUGCUAUAUAGGUGCUGCAUGGCUGUCGUCAGCUCGUGUCGUGAGAUGUUGGGUUAAGUCCCGCAACGAGCGCAACCCUUAUCGUUAGUUGCCAUCGGGUCAAGCCGGGCACUCUAGCGAAACCGCUUCGGAUAACGGAGAGGAAGGUGGGGAUGACGUCAAGUCCUCAUGGCCUUUAUGUCCAGGGCUACACACGUGCUACAAUGGUCGGUAUAGAACGUCGCAAACCCGCGAGGGGGAGCUAAUCGGAAAAAGCCGACCUCAGUUCGGAUUGGAGUCUGCAAUUCGACUCCAUGAAGCUGGAAUCGCUAGUAAUCGCGGAUCAGAACGCCGCGGUGAAUACGUUCCCGGGCCUUGUACACACCGCCCGU
rnacentral:rRNA from 1 species